GGUUAAAAACUCAAAAAGCACUUCCAGUUUACUUAAAGCAAUUUUGGGUUGUUUGGUUCUCUCCAAACGUGAUGACGAUGUCCUACGGUUCCUGCUCAAAAUCAAUUCUAGGUGAAGCUGCUAUUGCUAGCUUCUGAAAAUCGAUUCUUCAACUGCAGCGGAAUAAAAACAGAGUAGAGAAAAGAAAGAGAGACACAAACAAUUAUCCUGGUUUCUUCCACAAACCGGAAGUAGUCUAGUCCCCCUUGCACUUCCAAGGAGAUUUUCACUAAGAAAUAAUCACACAGAUUAAACUGCUCAAUACUACCUAGUAUGAGACUUCCCAAAUGCUCAAGCACGCAGGCAAGAGACUUCCAAUGCUCAAGCACUAAAGCAAGAGACUUCCUAUGCUCAAGCACUAAAGCAAGAGACUUCUAA
rnacentral:lncRNA from 1 species